AUAACGAGCUAGGGGAGCCUCGAGGCUGAGAGUCCGUUGCGGGACGGACGACCCUCUGAACCUGACCUGGUUAAUACCAGCGUAGGGAAGCGAACAGAGUGUGAG
rfam:Nitrospirae bacterium RIFCSPLOWO2_12_FTLL_63_8 rifcsplowo2_12_scaffold_89327, whole genome shotgun sequence.